UCACCUAGCUAAACGAGGUUCUGGAGGUGUAGGAGCCUUCUUAAAGAUACAUUUCUCCGAGAUUUUAACAUUGUUCUUUUAGAUAACGAUGACGACGAUCAGCUAUGGUCUAAGUUAUCAUCAAAGUGCGGAAUGAUUUUAGUAUUGUGUUGUGUGUUUGCUACCUGCCCCCUGCUUAUUCAUCACGUAUAUACGAUGAAGAAUUUUUUUUCAACGUGUUUUAGAGAAUUUAUACACAUACCAAAUCGAUGGUGUGUUGUGCAUAUGUGGUGAUCUAAAUGCGCGCGUUGGAGACGAGUGUGACUUUUUUCAAGGUGUGGAGAAGAUACCCGACAGAGAGGUGAUUGACCAGACAGUUAAUGCACACGGAGGACUAUGUAUCGACUUUCUGAUUGAAGAUGCUGAUUAUUUCUUCUUUUAACAACGCUCACCUACAACAUGUCAACAGUGAAAUAGACAAGGGUCAUGUGACCCGCCCACACGUUGACACUAGUGACCUGGAUUUGCCCAUUCUCCUCAGUGAGGUGGAACAUGCGGUUGCACGUGCUAGGCGUGGAAAGGCAGCAGGUCCAGACUGUUUACCAGCAGAGGCAUUAAAAAAAUAAAUCAUGUAUUAAAAUCC